rnacentral:misc_RNA from 1 species
GAAAUGCGAUAAGUAAUGUGAAUUGCAGAAUUCAGUGAAUCAUCGAAUCUUUGAACGCACCUUGCGCUCCUUGGUAUUCCUUGGAGCAUGCCUGUUUGAGUAUCAUGAAAUCUUCAAAGUAAAUCUUUUGUUAACUCAAUUGGUUUCUACUUUGGUAUUGGAGGUCUUUGCAGCUUCACACCUGCUCCUCUUUGUUCAUUAGCUGGAUCUCAGUGUUAUGCUUGGUUCCACUCGGCGUGAUAAGUUAUCUAUCGCUGAGGACACUGUAAAAGGUGGCCAAGGUAAAUGCAGAUGAACCGCUUCUAAUAGUCCAUUGACUUGGACAAUACUUUUAUGAUCUGAUCUCCAAUCAGGUAGUACUACCCGCUGAACUUAAGC